UAUUAGGUUGGUGCAAAAGUGAUUGUGGUUCCUGCCAUGACUUUCAGAGGCAAAAACUGCAAUAACUUUUGCACCAACCUGAUA
rnacentral:miRNA from 1 species